UCGAGAGGUUACGUUUUUAAUUAUUAUUAUUAACCAAUUCAUUAUUAUUAAAUUAUUAUGAAGGACACGAAAUUGGUACCUGAAUUUCCGAUGAUGGAGAAUUGUCCUGGAUGAGUCGUUGAGUAGAUUUGUACAAGAUGCACUGGAUAAUUGGAAUUCCGUUAUGAACACUUUAUAAAUACUGAGCACGUGUAGUUAGCCACCGCGUGUAGAUUAAUUGUGCCGGUUGGCGCGUAAUCGUCUAUCUGCCUCGGGGAGUUGACUAUCAGGGUGCGCGUCAGUCGCAGCACCACUGAUGCAGUAGAGUGCGAAUUUACCAAGUGUUCUGGCGCGAACAUUUGGUAUUUACGCAACACUUAGCAAUGUACAGA